AGUAUCCGCCCGAGAACUACGAGCACAAACGCUUAAAACUCUAAGGACUUGGCGGUGCCCCAAACCCAUCUAGAGGAGCCUGUUCUAUAAUCGAUAACCCACGAUAAACCCAACCCCUUCUAGCCCAAAGCAGCCUACAUACCGCCGUCCCCAGCCCACCUCCCCUGAGAGCCCAAACAGUGAGCACAACAACACCCCGCUAACAAGACAGGUCAAGGUAUAGCCAAUGAAAGGGUAGAAAUGGGCUACAUUUUCUAAAAUAGAAAAUUCCAACGGAAAGAGGUCUGAAAUUCGACCUCCAGAAGGAGGAUUUAGCAGUAAAGAGGAGUAAGAAUAUCCUCUUAAACCUGGCCCUGGAG
rnacentral:rRNA from 1 species